AUGCCUUGCCGCAAGGUCCCCAUGAGGCUCAUCGAGAAGGCGCUGGCGCGCGCCGAGACGCACGCCAGGAGGACCAAGGGGCUGCAGAAGAAGGCGUCGGAGCUCGCCACGCUCUGCGCGGUCCCGGUCGCGCUCGUCUGCUCCGCCGGCGCGGGGGCUCCGCCGCUCGUGUGGGAGUCGGAGGAGGGAGUGCUCGAAAGGUACCGGCGCGCCGUCCCGGCGGAGACCCGCGCGCGGCACACGCACCGGUGCUACAUGGAGACGGAGCUGGGCAAGGAGAGGGCCAAGCUCGCCCGGACGCGGCACGGCUGCCCCGGCGCGCUCGCAGACUGGGACGCCGCGCUCAACGACAUGACGCUGGAGGAGGCGCGCGGGCUGCUCGAGACCAUCGACACGGUGCUGCGGGCCACGGGAGACAGGAUGGAGGCGCUGGGCAUACCUGCCGACGGCGGCCACGGCCCGCUCCAGGGUUCUUCCCACGGCGCCCUCAUGCCGCAGAAGCUCGGGCACGGUGGCGGCAACCCCGUAGACAUGGACGCCGCCGGCUUCCAGCAGCUGCAGAUGGUAUCGUUCCACGCUGGGAACAACGAGGGCCUACUCGAGCAAUUCUCAUGGGACGACCCCUUCCAGACGCAGCCAGGGUGCGGCGGCUUCCAAUGCGUCGGCGGCAACUACUCGGCCGGCGGCGACGCGAUGCUCUCGCCAGGCGUCGCCAAUGCUGACUACAACUACUCGGCCGGCGGCGACGAGAUGCUCACGCUAGACCUCGCCAAUGCUGACUACAACUACUCGGCCGGCGGUGACGAGAUGCUCACGCUAGGCCUCGCCAAUGCUGACUACAACUACUCGGGCGGCAGCGACGAGAUGCUCGCGCCGGCCUUCGUCAAUGCUGACUACAACAACUCCUCCAGCGGCGGCGAGAUGCUCGCGCCUGGCUUUGGCAAUGCUGACUACGACUGGACUGACCUGACCAUGUGGGCCAACGACGAGCUGUGCGAUGCAGUCAUGACACAUGGGUGCUACCCUGACUUCGCCGACGGUACUCUGCCGCCCCAUUACUCCGCUCAGGUCAUCACCGGCGGGGACUACGUCAACACACCACCACCUGGCGGGUACGGGUACCCCAUGGCCAUGGGCGUGGGCGACAACUUCACUAAUCUCGACCGCGACUACACGGCGCACUCGCAGUUCCAGCGCUUCGACACAAGCAGUCUGUUGCUAGGGGCAAUGCAGUCAUAA
rnacentral:rRNA from 1 species